AUGCCUCUAAGUCGUGCUUCGACACGUGGGAGAUAUAGCCACAUCAAGGGCGUUACAGGUUGCUUCUUGGAGGGGUCAUCCUCCGAUGUCCCAUCGCCAUUGCCUUCUUUAGGUGUGUCCACCAUAUAUAUGUCAUAUGAUGAGGUGGCUAUCCAGUGCCCUGUGGGCAGUGGUUCUUGUUCGCCUCAUGCAUCGUCGUCCAUGCCGUCGAUGUCUUCGGAGUUGAAGUCGAGCAUGUCAGUUAAAUCAUCGACAGUGGCUACUAAGUGGGUGGUGGGUGGGCGGCGAAUUUCUUCGUUAUCCGCAUCCCAAUCCCGCCGGACAUAG
rnacentral:rRNA from 1 species